AACUGUUGAAUAUGGUCUCUGGUUUGGGAAUUUUAUGAAAAUAAAAGUUCCAAAGCUACGCCGUCUGAGAUAAUGGCUGAAGGCCUCUUAAGCCAGAAACUCAUCUAAAAAUAGAUGCUUUAAACUAUUUAAAAGAAUUAAAUUUAAAAUAUUUUUUUUAAAGGUUCUUGUUUAUAUAGGAAAACCCACUGAACUGAAGCAUCUCAAUAAGUGGAGGAAAAUAAACUAACUAGGAUACUCUUAGUAAGUGCGACCGAAGAGAGUAAAGCUCAAUAAUCUAAACUUUAAAUUUUUAAUUUAAAGUCAUGUGAUUUUCUAAACUCAUUGAAAUUUUUAUAAAUUAUGAUUGAAUUCAUAACUAUAAAGAGUUAUAGUCUCGUUAUUUAAAAUUUCAAGCAUGGGAAUUAGAAUUAAAGAGUCGGGUAGCUUGAGAAUGCUGCCUUAAUAUAGGUGGUACACCCCAUCUAAAGCUAAAUAUUGUAAAGAGACCGAUAGCAUACAAGUAGUGUGAACGAAAGAUGAAAAGAACUCCUAAACGGAGAAUUAAAAGCGCCUGAACUUGUCUAGGUUUUCGCAUUUCUUUAAUGCGCCCGUCUUGAAACACGGAUUAGGGAGUUUUACUUAAAUACGAGUCUUUAACUUUUAAAGUAAUUUUUUUAAAAAAGGCGAAAAGAAAUUAACUGGUUUUUUAACAUGGCUAUAGAGUAUUUAAGUCAAAACCCGAAUGGAGGUGAACUAUUCCUGCAAAGAUUGAAGUCAGGGGAAACUCUGAUGGAAGAUCGUUGGCGUUAUUGAUGUGCAAAUCAUUUGCUUUAUGUAGGUAUAGGUGCGAAAGACUCAUCGAACCUCCUAAUAGCUGGUUUCCUCCGAAGUUUCCCUCAGGAUAGCUGUAACAUUUUUAAAUAGUUAAGGAUAGUAGAGAAAUGGGUAGAGGUGUAGUGGAACUACGGUUCUGCAACUUAUUUCCAAACUUCGAACGUUCUUGAUAUAAAAAAUUACCUAACAGGAAUUUUUUAUUUAAAUAUAUGUUAUAAGUGGGCUCUGACCGGUAAGCGGUCAUGGCGAAAAGGGAUGAACCUAACGUAUAAAUAAGGUGCCUAAAUUUACUAACAAUGAAACCAUUAAAAGAGUCCAUGUAUUUAGACAGCGGGUCGGUGCCCCUAAAAGCAGGUAUCCGUUAAUGAGUGUGUUAAAACUCCCCCGCCGAAUACUCUGGCCUUGAAAAUGAAUGGCGCAUAUAGUAAUACCGAUAUUAUACAUUAAAAUUAUUUCAAAAUUUUAAAAGUAGGGGGAUGUGGAUAUCUUAGAGAAUUUUUAAUUGUAAAAUUGAAUUGAAAGAUAUCUAUUACAGAUCCUAAUUGAAGUAGCGAUUAUCCAGGUUAAUUUCCUGGGGGCUGAUGAGGAGUAGGGUUUCUGGGCAACUUAAACGGACCCAGAGUUAGUCGAUCCUAAUCAAAUUAAAUUUAGAGAAAGGGAAUAUGAAUGAUAUUUCAUAACUAAAAUUAAUUUUUAAAUGGUGACAUUUUUUUAAACUUAUUUCCAUCAAUUAAAUACUGUUUAAUAGGGAUUUCUUUCCUAUAUAACUUUUUAAUUAAAACUUAAGAAACAGGUUAACUGGAGAAUAAAGUUUUAAUUUAGUAAAAUUAUAAUUUCGAUUAUAAUAACGGCUAUUUAAAUGAUCCAUGAAACGAUAAGUUUAUUUUUUCAAAAAUUAAUUUAAUCGUACCGAUAACCGCAUCAGGUCU
rnacentral:rRNA from 1 species